rnacentral:sRNA from 1 species
GGGAUUCCCCUAGUAACUGCGAGUGAAGCGGGAAGAGCUCAAAUUUAAAAUCUGGCGGCUUCGCCGUCCGAGUUGUAAUUUAGAGAAGCGUUUUCCGCGCCGGACCGUGUACAAGUCUCCUGGAACGGAGCGUCAUAGAGGGUGAGAAUCCCGUCUUUGACACGGACGCCCGGUGCUCUGUGAUACGCUCUCGAAGAGUCGAGUUGUUUGGGAAUGCAGCUCAAAAUGGGUGGUGAACUCCAUCUAAAGCUAAAUAUUGGCGAGAGACCGAUAGCGAACAAGUACCGUGAGGGAAAGAUGAAAAGCACUUUGGAAAGAGAGUGAAACAGUACGUGAAAUUGCUGAAAGGGAAACGCUUGAAGUCAGUCGCGUCUGCCGGGAUUCAGCCUUAUGGUGUACUUUCUGGUGGACGGGCCAGCAUCACUUUUGACCGCCGGAAAAGGGUGGAGGGAAUGUGGCACCUCCGGGUGUGUUAUAGCCCUCCAUCGUAUACGGUGUUUGGGAGUGAGGACCGCCUUUGCAGGAUGCUGGCGUAAUGGCUUUAAACGACCCGU